rnacentral:lncRNA from 10 species
GGCUGCUGGACGCCCACGGGGUUGCUGGCUCUGGAGAGGGAACUGGUAGUGCUGGAGGGUGAUCCAGGGGGAGCAGUCCCCACCUCCACCAUUGCUCAACCACCCGCCUGCUUUCUGCUCAGCUUUCCCCAGAGGCCUGCUGGGGGCUUGCUGCGCAGCCGCAAACAAAAAGGCCUCUUUGUAGAUCCUCCCCUAGGACGCUCCGGAGGAAACAGCUCCCCUCGAAGCGGUAUUCAGCAUUCACGGCUGUCACCCAGGAGUCCCUGCUGGGUGCUGGGCCCAGUGCCGGGAGCUACAAAGGGUAUUGCCUGUACCAUCUGCCUGGGUCUCAGACUGAGGAUGACGAGGAGCAGAGUGGCAGCCAACUCAUAAUAGUCUUACAGCUUCCUGUUACUGUGCUGAGCAGGCAGUGACGCUCCUAUGCAGGACCCUACAG